AUUGAACGCUGGCGGCAGGCCUAACACAUGCAAGUCGAACGAGUGGCGGACGGGUGAGUAAUGUCUGGGAAACUGCCCGAUGGAGGGGGAUAACUACUGGAAACGGUAGCUAAUACCGCAUACCAACGGAUGUGCCCAGAUGGGAUUAGCUAGUAGGUGGGGUAACGGCUCACCUGGGAGACGAUCCCUAGCUGGUCUGAGGGGGUGACCAGGCACACUGGAAGUGAGUCACGGUCAAGACUCCUACGGGAGGCAGCGGUGGGGAAUAUUGCACAAGGGGCGCAAGCCUGAUGCAGCAAUGCGGCGUGUAUGAAGAAGGCGUUCGGGUUGUAAAGUACUUUCAGCGGGGAGGCGUUACCCGAAGAAGAAGCACCGGCUAACUCCGUGCCAGCAGCCGCGGUAAUAC
rnacentral:rRNA from 1 species